UUAAUCGGAAAUUCUAAAGCGAACCAUUAAAUCUGAUAAUUAAAAUUAUAACGAUUUGUUAUAUUAAUUAAAACAUUAAAUAAGACACGUUGCGUUACUUCUGUUAUUUUAUGUGUAGUGGCAGAAUUUAAAAUCUUACACUAGCAACAUUGAAAAAAAAAAUCAUUUCAUUCUUCAGAGAGAAACCAAGAAACGUAAGUUAAUUGAAUUAAAUAACUAAAUUAAAUAUUUUUGUCUUAAAUGGAGUGACGCUAAUUAUUAUGUUGUUUUUGUUACAGUCGUGAAACAAUAGCCAUGGUGGAAAGAAAUACGAAGAUUUGGACGGGGACUGAUAUCAAAGGGAUUGCAACUGAACCUAUGAGGAACGGAAGAGGAGGAGAAAAGGAAAGGGAGGUGGUGGUGUGGGAGGUGGUGGCGCCGGGACCCACCAAUAGAAAUAGCCUUGGAAGUCACUCCGGAGACGUUGGGCCGUUCACCCGUCCCGCCAUUGGUGGAGCGGCUACGUGAGCGCGCCAUCGCCGACGUCAAGAGGAGGUUGUGGCGCGCGGCGAUGGUGCGGCCGAAGGUGGAGGAGCGGCGCGCGCCGCUCUCCGCCUCCGAACUCGCAGCCGCUCAAGACCGCUGGCGGGCGGCUGUUAAAAAAAUGGAAUCCUGAGA